AGCAGCUAAUUAUGCCAGCUAAUCAGCAGCCACUUGGGCUGACUCACUGAACAGUGCUCCUGCAUGUUCAGUGCUACACACACACACACACACACACACACACACACGUGUACUUGAACUCCAACACUCUCUCUCUCGGUUUCACAAAGGAAAUUAUGAAAUCAUUUGUGUUGAUGAAACUUGGUUGUGGUAGUCGUGAGGGCUUCCCACACACACUCUCUCACACACUCCCCUCCGUCCGUCAGUCUCCACACACACUCCCGUCCAUCCAUCCCCACACACACACUCGCCCUGGUGCAGUGUGUGAGUGAUCAGUCAGAAGAAGAGCAGCUCACAGUCAUUGUCUGCCUGCCUGGCUUCUCUGCUCCGGCUGGAUCUGAUUCCUGACAGGGAGCGGCCAGCCAUCGCCUGGAGCAGGAAGAAGAGGCCACACAACGCUGAUUCAAUUUUACACUGUAGUCACCCAGAAACAAACCAACCGAUCCUUAACCACCCAGAGAAGAAAAAAUAGAAGGGAAAAAAAAGACGAGGGGAAAAGAAGUGAUGGCUUUUGCUGACAUUGGAGAGGACCAGGAUGACCUAAAUGAAGUGAUGCGUGAGGAGAUGGAGGACGUCUUCAUCUAUGAUGGCCCAACGGGACGAGGCGUGUGUGAGGGAGGGUGGAUAUAUUCUCUCCCUCUUCCCACCACUUUUCCUCCCAGCCUGUAGAGAAGGGAGGACUGAAUUAAAUCAUCACGGUCAUCCAUAGUUCACCCUAGCUUGUUAGCAUCAAGCGAUGGCGUCAGCCAUGGCAUAAAGAACAGAGUGCAUUAGUGACUUUUGUAAAGUCAUGGAUGGCAGUACAGUGAUGCCAGUGUUCAACCUCUAAUAGAACUGGGUCAGAGAGACCUACUGUAUGUGUUUCUGUCAGUAUCACUACUCUUUAUGAAUAUGUUUAGAAGUCAUCACUGUCUCAGAGUAUGAGUGCUGAUCUAGGAUCAGUUUAGCAUUUUACAUCAUAAUAAGUAAGAUUACAUGGACUGGGGGAGAUCUGAUUCUGGAUCAGAAUGCCUACUCUGAGAGGGUUUAUGAAUAUGCGCCCUGGUCUUUGCAUGAAUAUAAGCUCCUGAUUUACAGUAUAUCUGGGUCUUUAUAAAGCUCAUUGAUGUGUAUAGUCUACAUGAGCAAGCAGCAAUGAUGUGUGACUAAACGGAUAGCCUGAGCAAUGGAAGUCUUCUAUUGACUAGUAAAGUGUGUGUAUGUUGGCACGAGUGUGCGUAUGUUGCGUUUGGACUGGGUUGGCAGGUGUUGGGAGUGAAAGGCUACUGGUCCACCCUAGGGCUCUCCCUCCAUCCCCUCCAUCCCUCCUCUCCCUACGCCCUAGAUGAGGAUAGAGAUGGAGGGAUGAGGACAGGGGGUUUCCUUCUCUCCUCUCCUCCCUUGUCUCUGAGCAGAUGAGCAGAUAUGUGUUGUCAGUGCAGUCCUAUGGGGGGUCUUCCCCCUUAAUCCCUAGAGUCCAUUGAGGCCCAGCAGUGGAACACACCCACUGUCGCUGGCACUUACCUCUGAACCAGAUGUACACACCACUGGGACCACCCCUUGUACCCCUGUCCCUGCCCAUUUUGAUGGUUCAGUAGAAAACAUGACCUCUUUCGGUAUUAAGCGUUCUAAUAAACAGACAUAAGCUGAUAAGAUGGAUGUUUUGUUUUUCUGUUUUCUAAUUUCAAGCCCGGUUGUGAACAGCUGGGAGCCAGAGGAGAGGUUGGAUAAAAAAGAUAACAUAAUCUGUCUUCAUGGCCAUUGCGUGUUGCUAUAUAGAGGGGGAUUGGGUGGCAAAGAGGGUUAACCUAUUCCCUUUGCACUACCCAUAUGAUAUUGGUCCAAAAGUUGUGCAUUAUAUAGGAAAUAGGGUGUGUGUGUGUGUGUGUGUGUGUGUUUGUUUAUCCUGAGGCAAAGCUAGCAAACUUAAUGGCCCACAUUAUUAACUAAUAAACUCCACACUCUAGGGCUGAUCCCAUGUAGUCGACUAGUUGAUUGUUUGGUUGACAGGCUGUUGGUGGAACGAGAUUUCUUUAGUCGAGCAGUCGGUCGCAAAACAUAUUUUUCAUGGAGCACAAGACACCUGUCUGAUUGGUGCCUGUCUGAGUGGCCUAAUCCAUUGUGGAGUCCGUGGGGAUGUCACAGUCCAUCACUCUAAGACAUGCUACUGAAAUUGUAUAUGGUUAUAUUAUGUAAGAACAAUGGUGGAACGCUAAUAAUAAUAAAAAAAAACACACACACACAUAUAUAUGUGUGUGUAUGUAUGUAUGUAUGAAUGUAUGUAUGUAUGUGCAUGUUAUUAAAAAUACACAAUCUCCCGCGUUGGAUAUGCGUUUCUGAAACUUCAGUGCGCUGUUGAAUUGGCACCUUUUUCUAGACCAUGUUGCUGUGUGCAUAAUAGCAAAGUUAACCAGCAUAUUGGUAUUGAGAACUAUGCAGCAGAGCCAGCAGGGGAGUGAGGAGACGAGAAAACAGUCAUUGCCUUAAUUGUCUAAAAGUGAGGAGAGGAGGAGCCUAAUGGUUAAAUGUGCCUGGCUGUACAGUACAGGUCAAAAGUUUGAACACACCUACUCAUUCCAGGUUUUAAUUUUUUUUAUAUAACUAUUUUCUACAUUGUAAAAUAAUAGUGAAGACAUCAACACUAUGAAAUAACACAUGGAAUCACGUAGUAACCAAAAAAGUGUUAAACAGAUUUUAGUUUCUUCAAAGUAGCCACCCAUUGCCUUGAUGACAGCUUUGCACACUUGACAUUCUCUCAACCAGCUUCAUGAGGUAGUCACCUGGAAUGCAUUUCAAUUAACAGCUGUGCCUUGUUAAAAUAUAUAUUCUUUAAUGUGUUUGAGCCAAUCAGUUGUGUUGUGACAAGGUAGGGGUGGAAUACAGAAGAUCAAGUCCAUAUUAUGGAAAGAACAGCUCAAAUAAGAUUGAUAUUUGCAGCCUGCCAUGCCUUUACUUUAGCUAAAUAGCUAAUGUUAGCUACAUGCUUUAGUAGGAAUUGAAGUUAGCUGGAUACCCGAUAAGCACACAGUUGUCGAGCAACCUUUCCGGUUUAUAUACAGUUGAAGUCGGAAGUUUCCAUACACUUAAGUUUGGAGUCAUUAAAACUCAUUUUUCAACCACUCCACAAAUGUCUUGUUAACAAACUAUAGUUUUGGCAAGUCGGUUAGGACAUCUACUUUGUGCAUGACAAGUCAUUUUCCAACAAUUGUUUACAGACAGAUUAUUUCACUUAUAAUUCACUGUAUCACAAUUCCAGUGGGUCAGAAGUUUCUAUACACCAAGUUGACUGUGCCUUUAAACAGCUUGGACAAUUCCAAAAAAUUAUGUCAUGGCUUCAGAAGCUUCUGAUAGGCUAAUUGACAUCAUUUGAGUCAAUUGGAGGUGUACCUGUGGAUGUAUUUCAAGGCCUACCUUCAAACUCA
rnacentral:lncRNA from 13 species